GACUGGCUGGGUUCACGCCCAGCUGUAACCAAGUGGAGUCAUUAAAGGUUCAGGAUGGGAUGUUGUAAUACACUAUGUCUGGAAGUAACAUUGCACGAUGGCUGCCCGUUACAAGGCUGCAGUCUCUAGAGUUACCUUGGUGGAGACCGAGAUGACUUGUGAGAUAGUGAAACCCGUACCGCCGGAGGCUGGAAACAGAGCACGGAAAAGGGUUCGCUGUAGUACGGUGUAAGGAUAACAGUAGUUGUGUAACUUCCGGCAUCCCAGUGUAUCACCAAAUUCUCGGACUGAAUUUUUA
rnacentral:SRP_RNA from 1 species